rfam:Lupinus angustifolius cultivar Tanjil contig_19439, whole genome shotgun sequence.
GAGAGCCAAAUGAAUCAAAAGAUUCAUGUUUGGUUCGGGAAGAGAUCAUAGACGUUUUGAAAUUAAAUGAAUGGAAAGAUAAUCUACUUUCAU